GUCUAGGGCCAUACCACCCUGAAUGUGCCUGAUCUCAUCUGAUCUCCGAAGCUAAGCAGGAUUGGACCUAGUUAGUACUUGGAUGGCAGAUACCUGGCUGUGCCAAUCUACUGGAUACUUUGAGGCCUGACU
rnacentral:rRNA from 1 species